UUUCGUGUUAAUGUUUUUUCAGCUCUCUCUCUCUCUCCCCUCCUCCUCUCCAUAUACGUUCGAAAUCGCUUGAGGUGAGAGAUUUGCCAGCGAGAUCAGCGGGGCGGAGGAGAAAUGUUGGGCAAAUGGUGUAGCAAAUCGGAUCUCAGGAAUAUGCGACUCCGGUUUCGAGAGAUCCGACAAAAGUCUCUAAAGGGGUUUUCAAAAUCGCUGGGAGAGAAAACUUCCUCUGUAUCCGUAACGGCGGCGGGGAAGGGGCACCAUAAAUUGACCGAAAUGGAGUCUGCCGAUGAAGCCGAGAAUCUUUCUCAUCUCCAACAGUCCCGUUUUCAGAUAUGUUGUCUAGAGAAGUCGAGAGGUUCACCAUGUCUGAGUCUGACUUGUUGCUGUCGCAAGUGAAUGAAGCUGUGUAGUAUUUGCUUAACCUCACAUCAGGAGCUCUGUAGCCCCCACAAUGGGAAUCAGCAACACCAACAACACAUAUGAUGCCAUUGGCGAGCCAGGUAAUCCUAGAGAGCAAGGACAUCAUGACUGUAACUUUAGUAUCCCAGCAGCAGAUUAUAUCGAAGGUAGUGCUACCUUUAUGCAUUUUCAGGCGUUUGGUGUCCCGACUGGUCCUUAUGUGAACAUCAUAGUUGAUGCAAUUACUUCAGAAAUCUCACCUAGAUUUUCUGCUGAAACCAAGGCUGAGGCAGCAACGGUUGCGCCUACUGGGCGCCCAGUUGAUUGAAGGAACGGACUAUAAAAUCAGUGAACAAUCAUUUUUUCUCUGUUUAUCAACUUCUCCAAGCAAGUUUACCUCUGUAGGAGAAUACGUAACAUGAUGGGCUUCGUGCCCCACUUCCAAUGGUUGCAGCUUCGCUAUAUUUAUCUUGGCAAAGCCACGGCUUAGUUACAUGGCUUAAUGGAACCAUACACGUAUUGGGAGCUAAGACAAGUGCCAAUCACAAAGGGUUAUUUCUUCUUUGAUUGUUCCUUUUGAGGUUUUAUGCAAUUCCAGGUAACAAGCUCUCUCUGUUCUCACAGCUGGCCAGUUUUGAAAUGUGUGAUACACUUCCCGCCCUCGUUCAUUGGUCUCUCUCUUUUGGUUGAGGUUUCUGUCCGUUUUUGGAUUUGUAGCAUAUUUGGUAGAGCUCCGUUGUCUUUCUUAUCCUUGAGAAUAGUUGCUCAUUUCGCCAUCGAUUCCUUGUGUUUGCGUAAACAUUAACAAAUGAAAAGUUUGUCGACUUUCUA